AUGUGUGUAUAUAUAUAUAUAUAUAUAUAUACCCAUACAUAUUUCUUUCUCUUUUUUUUCGUAAAAUAAACAAAUCAAAAGUAGAAAAAUUUUAAACAAAACUUUUCUCAAGGAGGCGAAAAUCUAAGAACAGUAGCAGCAGCAGCAGCAACAACAACAGCCACAACAACAAUAAAAAUAACGACAAUAACAAUAACAACAACAGCAACAACAAUGCAACAAAACAAAGCUUUUUUUUAAAAAAAAAUAUCAAAAUGUCUUACAGGAAAAAAAAUAAUAAAAAUCGCUCCCAAAUGAUAGCCAUUAAAUGUUCGGUGUUUCUCUUCAGCUCUUGGAGUUUCCUCGUUAGUAUUUAUCAGUUAUGACUUAUCUGAUAUUUUACAGUAAGACGAAAAUACAAAAACGCAAAGAAAGGCCAACAAAAGUCUUUCCUUAGUAUAAAUAUAUGCAGUGGAAUAUAUUUAAGAAAGGAAAAAAAAGCAGAGAAGAAUCUCUUUAGUGUCUGUCAUUUUUGACUUGGAGUAGUUAUUGCACUGCACUCUAAUUGUCAUUGUUCAUUAAUUAUUAUCAUUAUUAUUAUUAUUAUUAUCAAUAUUAUUAUUAUUGUUGUUGUUGUUGUUGUUGUUUUUCUUUGUCUGAGAAACAAGGAAAAAACAAAAGAGAAAAGCUAUGUUGAGGUAGAUACGAAAACAUCGUCGUAUUAUAUUUUUUGGUGGGAGUGUAUAUAUGUAUGUAUGUAUGUAUUAUACAUUUGUGUGUAUUUGUGUGUGAGUGUAUACAUAUAUGCCUACAUAUAUAUAUGUGUAUCCACAUAUAUGUAUGUAUGUAAAUAUAUAUAUAUAUGUGUGUGCGAGUAUGUGUCACUGAGAGUAUAUUUGUGUGCUUAUAUAUAUAUAUAUAUAUAUAUAUAUAUAUAUAUAUAUAUAUAUAUAUAUGUGUGUGUGUGUGUGUGUGUGUGUGUGUGUGUGUGUGUGUGUGUGUUUAUAUAGAUAUACAUACAUAUUUCUAUCUAUCUAUACAUAUAUAUAUAUAUAUAUAUAUAUAUAUAUAUAUAUAUAUAUAUAUACAGAGAAACAGACAGAGGAACACAGUGACACACAAACAUAUUGAUAGGCAGACGCAUAGAAAUACAGAUAGAUAGAUAGAUAGAUAGAUAGAUAGAUAGAUAGAUAGAUAGAUAGAUAGAUAGAUAGACAGAUAGAUAGAGUGACGGGCAUAUACCUGAAUACAUACAUACAUGCAUGCAUACGUAUAUACAUGAAUGCAUACAUACGUACAUACAUGUAUGCAUACAUACAUUCUUGCAUACAUGCAUGCAUCGUAAUGUAACAAAACAGAGGGAAUCAAAAACUUCCGUAGACACGUUUUUAUCAUAAACAUGCGACUGUCAAUCGGUGUAGGAUAUUCUGGCGGCCAUUUUACACAAUCGAAAUAUUAAAAUAAUUUAAGUCUUUUUCAGUCAACAGUAAAUACAACACUAAGUUCAUAUUUGGUUAAAUUUUCCGUGUAUUUGUUAUCAUCGUCAUCGUUGCUAUUAAUAUUGUUAUUAUUGUUAUCAGUAACAUUAAUAUCAUCGUCAUCAUCAUCAUCAUCAUCAUCAUCAUCAUCAUCAUCAUCAUCAUCAUCAUUAUCAUUAUUAUUAUUAUUAUUAUUAUUAUUAUUAUUAUUAUUAUUAUUAUUAUUAUUAUUAUUAUUAUUAUUAUUAUUCAGGCAGCGAGCUGGCAGAAACGUUAGCACGCCGGACAAAAUGCUCGACGGCAUUUCGUCUGCCUUUACUUUCUGAGUUCAAAUUCCGCCGAGGUCGACUUCAAAUCGAUCCUGUUGUCACCAAGGCAUGCAAUCAUUAUUAUUAUUAUUAUUAUUAUUAUUAUUAUUAUUAUUAUUAUUAUUAUCAUAUUUGGAAAUAUAUAAUGCAUAUAAAUGAAAAAAAAAGUACAUACAUGUAUCAUAUUUCUUUCUUGAUAUGCAUAUAUAUAUAUAUGUAUAUACACGCAUUCGCAGUCAUACAGUUAUUACAUACACACACAUAUAUAUUGUUGUAUCUUGAGAGGGUCAUUUUGCCAACGAGGUAACUAAACGCACUGGCCUUAUUUAACUUCUCUUGAUUAUUAUUUUUAUUAUUAUUAUUAUUAUUAUUAUUAUUAUUAUUAUUAUUAUUAUUAUUAUUAUUAUUAUUAUUAUUAUUAUCAUCAUCAUCAUCAUCUUUAUGAUUGUUGUUGUUGUUAAGAUGUCCAGUUGGCAGACUCGUUAGCACGCAGGGCGAAAUCCUUACCGGUAUUUUGUCCGCCGUUGCGUUCUGAGUUCAAAUUCCGCCGAGGUCGACUUUGCCUUUCAUCCUUCCGGGGUCGAUAAAUUAAGUACCAGUUACGCACUGGGGUCGAUGUAAUCGACUUAAUCCGUGUCUGUCUUUGUUUGUCCCCUCUGUGUUUAGCCCCUUGUGGGUAGUAAAGAAAUAGGUAUUUUGUCCGUCUUUACGUUCUGAGUUCAAAUUCCGCCAAGGUCGACUUGACUUUCCAUCAUUUGGGGGGUCGAUAAAUUAAGUACUAGUUAUGCACUGGGGUCGAUGUGAUUCACUUAUUCCCUCCCCCGAACUUGCUCACCUCGUGCCAAAAUUCGGAAUUAUUAUUAUUAUUAUCAUUAUUAUUAUUAUUAUUAUUAUUAUUAUUAUUAUUAUUAUUAUUAUUAUUAUUAUUAUUAUUAUUAUUAUCGUUGUUGUUGCUGCCGUUAUUGCUAUUGUUACUGUUACUAUUAUUGAAACAGAUUAAAUGCAAUAUGGUAUACAUUCUGGUUCUCCAACAUAUUUUAUUGAGCUAGAUUCCAUCAAGGACAACUUUGACUUCCCAAACUUCCGGGGAUCGAUAAAGUAUAGAAGACCAGUUAAGUACAAUACUGAGGACAGUGCUAUUGUUUAACCCGUUCCCUCUCAAAGGUUUGUCUCCUUGGCACGGCCAGAAUAAUCAGGAAAGUAUUAGAUAGUUGAAAAGAGCAGAUAGCAUGGGACCGUAGGCUGCAGGCAGCAGGGCCGCUACGAAUGCAAGACACCAGGGGUACUAACAAAACCUGGGGUAACAUAAUAGUAAUAAUAAUAAUAAUAAUAAUAAAAAUAAUAAUAAUAAUAAUAAUAAUAAUAAUAAUAAUAAUAACAAUAAUAAUAAUAAUAAUAAUAAUAAUAAUAAUAAUAAUAAUAAUAAUAAUAAUAAUAAUAAUAACAAUAAUAAUAUUAAAAAUAACAAAAAUGAUAAUAAUAAAUGAAAUAGAACCAGUCCAGAGUUUCGUUUCUGGCAAAAAUGGCCGUUCUCGAGGCUGUUUAACUAUACACAAAAUUUCUCGUACAUCAAGGAUCUCGGAAAGCAAAUGAACAAAUGAUAUUUUAAAGAUAUAGACACACACACACACGCACACACACACACACACACACUCACACACACACUAAACUCUUGCACUCACGCGCGCGCUCAUAUGUGUGCGUAUAUAUAUAUAUAUAUAUAUAUAUAUAUAUACAUAUUCACACAAUCGCGCACACUCAUAUAAGUAGACAUAUAUAUAUGUAUAUAUAUGUUUCUGUGUGUAUGUGUGUAUGUAUGCAUGUAUGUAUAUAUGCUUGCAUAUAUGUAUGCGUGUAUAUACAUUUACAUAUACAUAUAUGCGAAAUUACACAUUAAACGCCGACGCAGGGUGGGGGUGGAAACAGGGUGACAGAAAAGAAGAAAAUCAAAAAAACCUGUGAGAACUGAAGGAGACAUGACUGAUCGAAAGACGAAUAGAACGGAACCGGAAGUUAAGAUUGAUGUGAGAACAAAAAACUGAAACUAGAUAUAUGACUAAUAUACAUAUACAUAUAUAUAUAUAUAUAUAUAUAUAUAUAUAUACACACACAUACAUACAUGCAUAUAUAUAUA
rnacentral:lncRNA from 1 species